CAAUAGCGUAUAUUUAAGUUGUUGCAGUUAAAAAGCUCGUAGUUGGAUUUCGGGUGGGUACCGCCGGUCUCCCAUUGGGUAUGUACUGGCGUGGCCCGCCUUGCUGUCGGGGACGGUCUCCUGGGCUUAAUUGCUCGGGAAUCGGAGUCGACGAUGUUACUUUGAGUAAAUUAGAGUGUUCAAAGCAAGCCUACGCUCUGAAUAUGAUAGCAUGGGAUAACACGACAGGACUCUGGCCUAUCGUGUUGGUCUGUAGGACCGGAGUAAUGAUUAAGAGGGACAGUCGGGGGCAUUCGUAUUCCAUUGUCAGAGGUGAAAUUCUUGGAUUUAUGGAAGACGAACAUCUGCGAAAGCAUUUGCCAAGGAUGUUUNCAUUGA
rnacentral:rRNA from 1 species